rnacentral:rRNA from 1 species
UAUGCGAGGCUACCUGCAAGUCGAGCGGCAGCGACAACAUUGAACCUUCGGGGGAUUUGUUGGGCGGCGAGCGGCGGACGGGUGAGUAAUGCCUGGGAAAUUGCCCUGAUGUGGGGGAUAACCAUUGGAAACGAUGGCUAAUACCGCAUGAUAGCUUCGGCUCAAAGAGGGGGACCUUCGGGCCUCUCGCGUCAGGAUAUGCCCAGGUGGGAUUAGCUAGUUGGUGAGGUAAGGGCUCACCAAGGCGACGAUCCCUAGCUGGUCUGAGAGGAUGAUCAGCCACACUGGAACUGAGACACGGUCCAGACUCCUACGGGAGGCAGCAGUGGGGAAUAUUGCACAAUGGGCGCAAGCCUGAUGCAGCCAUGCCGCGUGUAUGAAGAAGGCCUUCGGGUUGUAAAGUACUUUCAGCAGUGAGGAAGGAGGUAUCGUUAAUAGCGGUAUCUUUUGACGUUAGCUGCAGAAGAAGCACCGGCUAACUCCGUGCCAGCAGCCGCGGUAAUACGGAGGGUGCGAGCGUUAAUCGGAAUUACUGGGCGUAAAGCGCAUGCAGGUGGUUUGUUAAGUCAGAUGUGAAAGCCCGGGGCUCAACCUCGGAAUUGCAUUUGAAACUGGCAGGCUAGAGUACUGUAGAGGGGGGUAGAAUUUCAGGUGUAGCGGUGAAAUGCGUAGAGAUCUGAAGGAAUACCGGUGGCGAAGGCGGCCCCCUGGACAGAUACUGACACUCAGAUGCGAAAGCGUGGGGAGCAAACAGGAUUAGAUACCCUGGUAGUCCACGCCGUAAACGAUGUCUACUUGGAGGUUGUGGCCUUGAGCCGUGGCUUUCGGAGCUAACGCGUUAAGUAGACCGCCUGGGGAGUACGGUCGCAAGAUUAAAACUCAAAUGAAUUGACGGGGGCCCGCACAAGCGGUGGAGCAUGUGGUUUAAUUCGAUGCAACGCGAAAACCUUACCUACUCUUGACUCCAGAGACUUAGCAGAGAUGUUUGGUGCUUCGGGACUCUGAAAAGGUGCUGCUGGCUGUCGCCGCUCGUGUGGGAAUGGUGGUUAAGCCCGCACGAGCGACCCUUACCUUGUUGCCACGAGAAU